ACCCGCACAAGCGGUGGAUGAUGUGGUUUAAUUCGAUGCAACGCGAAAACCUUACCCACCUUUGACAUGUACGGAAGUUGCCAGAGAUGGCUUCGUGCUCGAAAGAGAGCCGUAACACAGGUGCUGCAUGGCUGUCGUCAGCUCGUGUCGUGAGAUGUUGGGUUAAGUCCCGCAACGAGCGCAACCCUUGUCAUUAGUUGCUACGAAAGGGCACUCUAAUGAGACUGCCGGUGACAAACCGGAGGAAGGUGGGGAUGACGUCAAGUCCUCAUGGCCCUUAUAGGUGGGGCUACACACGUCAUACAAUGGCUGGUACAAAGGGUUGCCAACCCGCGAGGGGGAGCCAAUCCCAUAAAGCCAGUCGUAGUCCGGAUCGCAGUCUGCAACUCGACUGCGUGAAGUCGGAAUCGCUAGUAAUCGCGGAUCAGAAUGUCGCGGUGAAUACGUUCCCGGGUCUU
rnacentral:rRNA from 1 species